GAUGAGCGCUGGCGGCGUGCCUAAUACAUGCAAGUCGAGCGAACAGACGAGGAGCUUGCUCCUCCGACGUUAGCGGCGGACGGGUGAGUAACACGUGGAUAACCUACCUAUAAGACUGGGAUAACUUCGGGAAACCGGAGCUAAUACCGGAUAAUAUAUUGAACCGCAUGGUUCAAUAGUGAAAGACGGUUUUGCUGUCACUUAUAGAUGGAUCCGCGCCGCAUUAGCUAGUUGGUAAGGUAACGGCUUACCAAGGCAACGAUGCGUAGCCGACCUGAGAGGGUGAUCGGCCACACUGGAACUGAGACACGGUCCAGACUCCUACGGGAGGCAGCAGUAGGGAAUCUUCCGCAAUGGGCGAAAGCCUGACGGAGCAACGCCGCGUGAGUGAUGAAGGUCUUCGGAUCGUAAAACUCUGUUAUUAGGGAAGAACAAAUGUGUAAGUAACUAUGCACGUCUUGACGGUACCUAAUCAGAAAGCCACGGCUAACUACGUG
rnacentral:rRNA from 1 species